AUGAUGAAGGAAGGUCAAAUUCUUUCUACAAUCGGAUUGGGAGAAGCAAGAGAAAGGGGUCGCUGCGGCCGACGUGAUUCGAAAAGAGAAGCUAGUACCGGGGCCUCCCUAAGCGAGCUGCCUGCUGAAGUACAAGCUUUUAAUGGGGACAGGCUAAGCGAGCUGCCUGCUGACCUGCUGCUCAACAUUCUGGAGAGGGUGGGUACGCUUGAUGCAGUAAAAACUUGCAUACUUUCGAGGAAAAUGCAGAAGCUGCCCAGUAUGCUCUCACAGAUCGUCAUUGAUCUCAGCUCUAAUGAUCUAGUUCAAAUGAAUGGUGUCGUCGCUGAUGUGACAGACAAGAUCCUUAGUACGAGGUCUCCGCAGAUCACCAUUCGCAAGCUGAAGCUCAAAUUUUUCCUGAGCCCUUCUUGCUGUCUCUCCAUCGGCAAAUCUGUUGGCGCAGCCAUGGUGACGCAGAAAUUGGAUGCAGCCGAGUUUGAGAUCUUGUCGCCAAGGGAUCUCCAUCUUUGCUCUGAUGCCUAUCGCGUGCUCUUUGCUAAGCAGUUCAAUAAUUUUGUUCGUGAUUGUCCAGAUGCAUUUGCUGGUCUCACACGGCUGCAUUUACGGAAUAUGAGAUUUGGUAAAUCAGACCUACCCAACAUCCUAAGCUAUUGCAAGGUGCUGGAGUCACUAUCUUUCUUAAUGUGUGACGCGGGGAUCCGUUCGGUUCUACAUAUAGAACAUGCUCGACUCGUCGAGCUUGUUAUCUCCUAUGGAAAAUUCAAAACAGUGGAGCUCAAUCGCCUACCAAAGCUCAAACGGAUGGCCUACAAUAAUUGGCCCUAUGAUGAAAAUCCAUUGGUUCUUGGUGUUCUCCCUCAGCUUUCAAACCUCAGUCUUGGUGAUGCAUGUCUUUCUCAGAAGACCCUCAAGCUAAGCCAGCUGCUUGCUACUGUCCCUUCUGUUAGUAAUCUGUCUCUGGAAUUUCGAAGUGAAAAGAUUUGGAUUCAACCAGAAUGCCCCAAAGCGCUUGCUCCUGUGCUUGCUAAGUUACGGUUUAUUAAUCUGGAUAAUCUUCCUGAAGAAUGUGAUAUCUCUUGGACAAUGUUCCUUCUUGAAGCUGCACCGUCUGUAGAGGACCUUUCCAUCACAGUAUGGGAUCAUAAGUGCCGACAGGAGUCACAAAAUAGUUACUCAACGAAAACAGAUGUGAAGUGGGAACCAUCUAAUCCAAAUUUUAAGCACAAGAAUCUGGCGACUCUAACUAUCUACGGUUUCCAGUCCGAUGACAAUUUCAUGGGAUACGUCAGUCGUGUCAUGCAAGCUGCGGUGAACAUCAAGAAGGUGUCUCUGCACGACAGGAAGAUGUGCACACUUUGCACUGACAAGUUUCCCCAUGCUGACGCUCGUCCUUCAAGCUAUCCUCAAACCAGCGUGCAGAAGGAUUCAUUGAAGAAGAAGAUCACAGAGGCAUCCUCGAAGGCUUCUCGGGCUGUGAUUCAGUUCAGCUCGUAA
rnacentral:rRNA from 1 species